GGUACUUUCGGAUAGUGGUUAUUCCGUCACACUUGAAUUGAAUCAGAUGUGAUGCCUUCGGGCGCGCACGUUCGAAUCGUGCAAGUACCG
rnacentral:tRNA from 2 species